GUGUCACUCCUUUUUAUAUCAUGAUUGCACGUUCAUCCUUCUUCUCUGUGAGUGCGAAAGGCUACUGAUUUUGAAGGAUUCACACUGCAAGCACAUUCGUCCAGCGCGCUCUACCCCUCACACUCAACCACAAUCACAAUCACCUUCUAGGUUGAACACUCUUCUCAGUAAAGGGAUCAGGGUUUACCGAGAUUGAAGUUGAAAGAAGCGUUAAACAUCAGGUCCAUUUCUGAGGUGAUUUGGAGCUUGUGUGGGGUUUGUUUGGGUCCUUUCCAAUCCUUCUUCAACUGGCUGAGCUAGAGGUAUUGGAGGAAGUUGAACUUGAGCUUUUGGAAAGGUUAUUCUUAUUUUAUGAUUACUUCUUAUGAAGUUUAGUUUAGUCCUCAUUAGUGAACACAAAAAAACAGAUACAUUAUGAUCAAUGAUAUAACAACGAAAUUAUCACAACAAAAGCUAAUUUGAGUCACAUUUGAGUAUGCGAAAUAACUAAGCAUUAUGGGAACCAAGUUUCUUGGAAGUUGUCGGUUACAAUGUUGAGUCAAAUGUAUGUAUAAGUGGCUCAAUUUGUCUGUUCUUACUAGACCGUAACCCAUUUUGUUAAUAGACAAUGAUAAGCAAUCAAAUGUGGGGGAAAAGCAAUAUCACCUUGGAUAUGGGUUUGCCUUUGACAAAUUUCUGCCCACAUUUGCGCUAUCUAUAUCCAUCAUCCAAGAUAUCCACUUCACUUGUUUGCCCAA